UCGAGGCGUAACAUGGAGAACCGAGGCACCGGUGGCACACAUCGCGCGGGAAACCGCGACUACACCCGCUUCAAGGGGAAAAAGGUGGCCGAGGCACCACCUGGGGUGGUGCUUCAUGAUGCCCAGAUAUAUGACAUGAUGCGGACGAAGCAGAAGCCCAAUCCCGCAUUGCCUCAGCCACAGUACUACGGCAAUGCCAAGGCCGCCAAGGAGGACUACUCGCGACAUGGUCAAGUCUCGUCACCCCGAGGUGGAUGACCCCUUGAGCAUUCCGGUCGACGAGGAGUCGUUGGUCCUGUCGGGGCACGGGCGUCCGCAUGGCCGUUUCCCUUGGAUGAAUAAGGCGGUCAAGCCUACCCACUCCACGAGCUACACGCGCCUCAAGCAUACCCUCACCGCCGACAGCCCCCAGCCUCGUCCACGGCCUGCUCGUCCACCCGCCUACGAUCCUGACUUCGAGGCGGCCUUCGAAGCCUGCAAUGAAGCGUAUCAGCAGGCCGUUGCCCAGUGGAAUAGGCAGAAUACGGCCUAUAUGACGUAUUUAUCAGUAAGUCUGAAUCUUCCUUCUCGCGCAAGU